CUGCUGUAAGUGGUGUUGGAGAGCCGUGUGAUGCAAGCGUAAGAGUUGGCGUAGGUGGAAGGGUCAGUGCGGUGGAAUGGGCACAAACGUAGGUUCCCCAAAAGACACGGUAGGAGGACCAGUGCGUGCCGAAGCACGCGUGAGCAAAAGGCAGGCUAGGAGUAAGGACAGAAACGCACGCACGCCCUAAGGGAUGGGUCCGAGUUCCCAACACCGCAUUCGCACUAUAAUGCAGUAAGGCAAGGCUCUCACGACGCGUUUCGACCGUGCCAAGGGUCUCAUCAGGUGAGUUCUGCAAAAGCGUGCAAGUGCAAGUUCCCAUCCCCGAAGCCCGUUGGGUAGCAAGCCGUCUACCCAAACCCAAGCCCAACCCAGCCCCUGGUCCUUAGUCAUGUGCGUAUGAACGGUGACGCGUCAGAACUUACGCUGCGUAGGUCGGAGUUGAUGUUGCUUGAGCUGGGGGCUCGGUGGACUUGGGCGUUGGCCUGAGGCACGUACGGGUGCGAGAGAAGGGCGGGCAGCGUGUCAGAUUGGCAGCGGGGUGAGGCGAGAGUACCGGUGCGGUGUCAAGUCUGGUGACUGGCAUGUAGCGCAGCGCGCGUAAAGCAUAAAUCAAUAUGGAGCUAUCGAUGCGUGUGCGCUCGCUUGUGUGCAUAAUUACCAGCGAAGUGAGUAGGUCGUAGGGGAAUCAGGGCAUCCGCAAGCGCGCCAGCUCGAUACGAGUUCCCAGCAAAUACUAUGUUGCAUGCAUAGGCUUGAAUUUGCAGGAGAUCAUGUUUGCGGUGGCCGUCGGGCAGGAGGGAGGAAGAAUUGCUUUAGGCAUCGCCGAAGCAUCCUAAGCCAAAGUGCAGCGUGGAGCGAGGCAGAGUACUUCAUCGAAGCUUUGAAUGCAAGUUGUAGGGAAGCGGAAGCGGUGCAGGGUUAAGUACCGGUCAGGACGGGGGAAGGCGCAAUUUGAGUACGGCGCAUGCAGCGUGGAAUUGCGGGGGGGUUUCGGGCUGUCGAGCAUUUGAAUCUCCGCGGUGGAUUCCGCUGGAUUGGCGAAGUGGGUCGGUUGGUUGCGGCGCUCACCUGUUCUUGGAUGUAAGAGUUCCUUGGCUGCUGCUGCUGCUGCUGCUGCUGCUACGCUACCCCACCAUAGCGCAGAAAAUCCCGGUGCAUUAAGCCAGUAAGGCGCAGUUACCAUUACCCCAAGGUAGCUGGUGCUGCUGCCUUACGGCACAGCACCGCACCACUUUGGGAGCAUACGGUAUCGUUGUUAGUAAGGCGUAAAAAACGGAGGGAGACGUGUACAGCAUAUGCUUACGUGUGAACGUGUGACAACGUGGCUGGCAGGGGAUGUGCCAACCGUGUUGUCGAGUAACGGAGGGUGUUUAGGUCUGUUGAGGGUCAGUGCGGAGUAAAGUCGGUAGGCGCGCAGUGGGAAGCCCUGGGUAGGCGGCAUUCCCGCGGUGGGUGUGGCAAUGAAGCAACACACCAUGGUCACCGUGUGCCGGCGGUGGGCCAUGGGUGCGUUCAUCCCGUGUUCGUGUAAACGUGGACAGUUCGUAUAGUUCGUGGAAAAUAUGGAGACAGGAUGCGAGAGUAUAAUGGGAUCAGGGCUGUGCCCAUCACCGCCACCAACUCGCAGAGCCAAUGCCUCAAGUGUGGUUCGUGAGCGCGAAAGUGGUUAGUGGGCGCAUAGCGGGCUUCGGUACUGCGACCGUCACCACCGCAUCCCACCACAGUCGAGCAACACGGAACCGUGCACCCCUGGGUAACCAAAGAAGUCACGCACCAACACCAUUCCGAUGUUGACCGAACCUCACAGCCAGGUUGCUUUCGUGACAAGACAUGACAAGUGCGUAAGGCAAAAAACGGUAAACGUCAGUACCCAGGUGGCGUGCAAGUUUGCCCUCAGUAUGCAAAACUCCUCCGGGCUUGGCAAGCCAAGCCCCAUGCGACGACCCAGCCACAGACUGACAUCAGUCGUGACCAAGCGCGAAGAGGGUAUGUGCUGCUGUAAGUGGUGUUGGAGAGCCGUGUGAUGCAAGCGUAAGAGUUGGCGUAGGUGGAAGGGUCAGUGCGGUGGAAUGGGCACAAACGUAGGUUCCCCAAAAGACACGGUAGGAGGACCAGUGCGUGCCGAAGCACGCGUGAGCAAAAGGCAGGCUAGGAGUAAGGACAGAAACGCACGCACGCCCUAAGGGAUGGGUCCGAGUUCCCAACACCGCAUUCGCACUAUAAUGCAGUAAGGCAAGGCUCUCACGACGCGUUUCGACCGUGCCAAGGGUCUCAUCAGGUGAGUUCUGCAAAAGCGUGCAAGUGCAAGUUCCCAUCCCCGAAGCCCGUUGGGUAGCAAGCCGUCUACCCAAACCCAAGCCCAACCCAGCCCCUGGUCCUUAGUCAUGUGCGUAUGAACGGUGACGCGUC
rnacentral:lncRNA from 1 species